rnacentral:rRNA from 1 species
AUUGAACGCUGGCGGCAUGCCUUACACAUGCAAGUCGAACGGUAACAGGUUAAGCUGAGAGUGGCGAACGGGUGAGUAAUAUAUCGGAACGUGCCCAGUCGUGGGGGAUAACGUAGCGAAAGUUACGCUAAUACCGCAUACGAUCUACGGAUGAAAGCGGGGGAUCGCAAGACCUCGCGCGAUUGGAGCGGCCGAUAUCAGAUUAGGUAGUUGGUGGGGUAAAGGCUCACCAAGCCAACGAUCUGUAGCUGGUCUGAGAGGACGACCAGCCACACUGGAACUGAGACACGGUCCAGACUCCUACGGGAGGCAGCAGUGGGGAAUUUUGGACAAUGGACGCAAGUCUGAUCCAGCCAUUCCGCGUGCAGGAUGAAGGCCCUCGGGUUGUAAACUGCUUUUGUACGGAACGAAAAGGUUUCCAUUAAUACUGGGAGCUCAUGACGGUACCGUAAGAAUAAGCAUCGGCUAACUACGUGCCAGCAGCCGCGGUAA